UAUUUGAUACUACACAGUAGAUGGCGAUAAUGCUCUAUUAAGAAAGCAAUCUUCCAAUCAGCUCAAAGUAGAAAGUUUUCUCAGCCGCUGGAUGUCGCUGUACGAGCAGGUCUGCGUGUGAAUAUCAGCCGAAGAAAAGACAACAAUGGCGGCGACCUGCUCGUGGAAGUUAGACAAAGAAACGGGGCAGGAUGCGCUUAUCGGUCACAGGUCUGCUAGACGAAGGCUACUGAUCCUGAUGUGGAGGGCUUGAGGUGGCCACUGUCUUCACAAUGAACCCAGUAGUUGGAAUCAGUUCACACAAAUCCAAAGCUUCCUGAUACAUACACACAUACAUACGGUACAGUAAUCGUGGUAGCAGACUUACCAUCAGUCAGCUGGAAACCAAAGGGCUCUGCAACAAAGUGUGGUUUGGGAUCAGCUGGCUCUGGAUUCGGCUCCGAGUUCUCUUGUAGAGGCACAAAUGGCUCAACUCUGGUCCCGCGGCAGCAGCAGAAGGAGGGCCACUUUAAGGGCUUCCGUGCUUUCUUAAAGACUGAAGAAAUCCCUUUCUUCAUCCUUUUCCUCAA